CCCGCUGAACUUAAGCAUAUCAAUAAGCGGAGGAAAAGAAACUAACAAGGAUUCCCCUAGUAACUGCGAGUGAAGCGGGAAGAGCUCAAAUUUAAAAUCUGGCAGUUCCUUGAGCUGUCCGAGUUGUAAUCUAGAGAAGUGUUUUCCGUGCUGGACCGUGUACAAGUCUCUUGGAAUGGAGCGUCAUAGAGGGUGAGAAUCCCGUCUUUGACACGGACUACCAGUGCUUUUGUGAUGCACUCUCAAAGAGUCGAGUUGUUUGGGAAUGCAGCUCAAAAUGGGUGGUAAAUUCCAUCUAAAGCUAAUAUAGGCGAGAGACCGAUAGCGAACAAGUACCGUGAGGGAAAGAUGAAAAGAACUUUGAAAAGAGAGUUAAAAAGUACGUGAAAUUGUUGAAAGGGAACCGUUUGAAGCCAGUCUUGCUUGCUUGUGAUCAAUCUUUGCUUCGGCUUGGAUGCACUCUCAGGUUAUGCAGGUCAACGUCAGUUUGAGAGGUGGGAAAAAAGCUUGAGGAAUGUGGCCUUCGGGUGUUAUAGCCUCUUGCUAAAUACCAUCUUUUGGACUGAGGCUCGCAGCAAAAAUGUGGGCAGGUUUGCGUUUGAGGUGAUACAUUAUUAAGACAGCUUGCUGACUUAGUUUUGUCUAUCUUCACUGUAAGCUUCGCUUCUAAUUUGCUUAGGUCGUUGACAUAAUGGCUUUAAAUGACCCGUCUUGAAACACGG
rnacentral:rRNA from 1 species